rnacentral:rRNA from 1 species
AACGAACGCUGGCGGCAUGCCUAACACAUGCAAGUCGAACGAGACCUUCGGGUCUAGUGGCGCACGGGUGCGUAACGCGUGGGAAUCUGCCCUUGGGUUCGGAAUAACAGUUAGAAAUGACUGCUAAUACCGGAUGAUGACGUAAGUCCAAAGAUUUAUCGCCCAAGGAUGAGCCCGCGUAGGAUUAGCUUGUUGGUGAGGUAAAAGCUCACCAAGGCGACGAUCCUUAGCUGGUCUGAGAGGAUGAUCAGCCACACUGGGACUGAGACACGGCCCAGACUCCUACGGGAGGCAGCAGUGGGGAAUAUUGGACAAUGGGUGAAAGCCUGAUCCAGCAAUGCCGCGUGAGUGAUGAAGGCCUUAGGGUUGUAAAGCUCUUUUACCCGGGAUGAUAAUGACAGUACCGGGAGAAUAAGCCCCGGCUAACUCCGUGCCAGCAGCCGCGGUAAUAC